rnacentral:rRNA from 1 species
AUUGAACGCUGGCGGCAGGCUUUACACAUGCAAGUCGAACGAGUGGCGGACGGGUGAGUAAUGUCUGGGAACCUGCCUGAUGGAGGGGGAUAACUACUGGAAACGGUAGCUAAUACCGCAUACCAUCGGAUGUGCCAAGAUGGGAUUAGCUAGUAGGUGGGGUAAAGGCUCACCUAGGCGACGAUCCCUAGCUGGUUUGAGAGGAUGACCAGCCACACUGGAACUGAGACACGGUCCAGACUCCUACGGGAGGCAGCAGUGGGGAAUAUUGCACAAUGGGCGCAAGCCUGAUGCAGCCAUGCCGCGUGUAUGAAGAAGGCCUUCGGGUUGUAAAGUACUUUCGGCGGGGAGGCGUUACCCGCAGAAUAAGCACCGGCUAACUCCGUGCCAGCCGCCGCGGUAAUAC